ACGUGCGGUUCUAUUUUGUUGGUUUCUAGAGUCGCCGUAAUGAUUAAUAGGGAUAGUUGGGGGCAUUAGUAUUCAGUUGCUAGAGGUGAAAUUCUUGGAUUUACUGAAGACUAACUACUGCGAAAGCAUUUGCCAAGGAUGUUUUCAUUAAUCAAGAACGAAGGUUAGGGGAUCGAAAACGAUCAGAUACCGUUGUAGUCUUAACAGUAAACUAUGCCGACUAGGGAUCGGGCGACCUCAAUUUGAUGUGUCGCUCGGCACCUUACGAGAAAUCAAAGUCUUUGGGUUCGGGGGGGAGUAUGGUCGCAAGGCUGAAACUUAAAGGAAUUGACGGAAGGGCACCACCAGGAGUGGAGCCUGCGGCUUAAUUUGACUCAACACGGGGAAACUCACCAGGUCCAGACAUAACUAGGAUUGACAGAUUGAUAGCUCUUUCUUGAUUUUAUGGGUGGUGGUGCAUGGCCGUUCUUAGUUGGUGGAGUGAUUUGUCUGGUUAAUUCCGAUAACGAACGAGACCUUCCCGUGCUAAAUAGCCCGGCCGGCUCCAGCCGGUCGCCGGCUUCUUAGACGGACUAUCGGCGUUUAGCUGGUGGAAGUUGGAGGCAAUAACAGAUCUGUGAUGCCCUUAGAUGUUCUGGGCCGCACGCGCGCU
rnacentral:rRNA from 1 species